rnacentral:rRNA from 1 species
UGGAGGCAGCAGUGGGGAAUCUUGCGCAAUGGGCGAAAGCCUGACGCAGCAACGCCGCGUGCGGGAUGAAGGCUCUCGGGUCGUAAACCGCCUUCAGCAGGGAUGAAAUUGACAGUACCUGCAGAAGAAGCCCCGGCUAAAUACGUGCCAGCAGCCGCGGUAAUACGUAUGGGGCUAGCGUUAUCCGGAUUCAUUGGGCGUAAAGAGCGCGUAGGCGGCUUGUUAAGUCAGAUGUGAAACCUGGGGGCUCAACCCGCAGCGUGCAUCUGAAACUGGCAGGCUUGAGUCUGGUAGAGGAAAGUGGAAUUCCCAGUGUAGCGGUGAAAUGCGCAGAUAUUGGGAGGAACACCAGUGGCGAAGGCGGCUUUCUGGGCCACGACUGACGCUGAGGCGCGAAAGCUAGGGGAGCAAACAGGAUUAGAUACCCUAGUAGUCCU